AUCAUUACCGAGUUGAAAACUCCGUGAACCCAGCCGCUAUAACCUCUGUCGUUGCUUCGGCGGGCUCGCCCGCCGGAGGUUACAAACUCUUGUAUAUUUUUUUAGCAUCUCUGAGCCUAAAAGACAAAUAAUCAAAACUUUCAACAACGGAUCUCUUGGUUCUGGCAUCGAUGAAGAACGCAGCGAAAUGCGAUAAGUAAUGUGAAUUGCAGAAUUCAGUGAAUCAUCGAAUCUUUGAACGCACAUUGCGCCCGCCGGUAUUCCGGCGGGCAUGCCUGUUCGAGCGUCAUUUCAACCCUCAAGCCCCGGCUUGGUGUUGGGGCGCCCGGGUCCCCCGCGGCCUGGGGCCCCCAAGUUCAUCGGCGGGCUCGUCGGUACACUGAGCGCAGUAAAAACGCGGUAAAACGCGAACCCUCGCUCGGCCCGUCACCGGCGCGCACCAGCCGCUAAACCCCCAAAACUUUCAAAGGUUGACCUCGGAUCAGGUAGGAAUACCCGCUGAACUUAAGCAUAUCAAUA
rnacentral:rRNA from 1 species